UUAUCCUACGGGGCGCAGCAGUGAGGAAUAUUGGUCAAUGGCCGGAAGGCUGAACCAGCCAAGUCGCGUGAGGGAAUAAGGCCCUAUGGGUCGUAAACCUCUUUUGUCAGGGAGCAAAGGCGUCCACGUGUGGACGAGAGGAGAGUACCUGAAGAAAAAGCAUCGGCUAACUCCGUGCCAGCAGCCGCGGUAAUACGGAGGAUGCGAGUGUUAUCCGGAUUUAUUGGGUUUAAAGGGUGCGUAGGCGGUCCGUUAAGUCAGCGGUAAAAUUGCGGGGCUCAACCCCGUCGAGCCGUUGAAACUGG
rnacentral:rRNA from 1 species